CACUUUCUUUCUCUGUACAACUUGGAAGCUUUCUCUCUCUCAAAGCAGCAAGGUCCUCCACCACCACCACCUUCAAUCUUUGUCUUUCACACAGAGAGAGAUACUGUGUGUGAGAUCAGUUUUUGGUUCAUGGAUUCCUUUUCUCUUCUACACAAUUCCAAGCAUCUAUUCUUGGUUUGAACAAGUUUUGGGCUUUUGGUGGUAAUGUGGUGUCUCACUAUAUGAAAGUUGUGGGUUAAUUCUUUUCUUAAUUCAUUGUGUUCACAAUAUCCCAUAGAAGUAUUUAUAAAACAAACAAAAAGAAGAGACCCGUGAUGCAGAGAAGAAAGCAUAUACACCCAGACCUCUCAAAUAUACCAAUAAGAAAUAAGAAAAUAUAUCCUAUUAUUGGGUGUUGUACUCGCACGGAUCUUUGUCUUGCGUUGUUGCCUCAUGCACGGGUGUUUGAUUUUGUUAAUUUUGAUCUUUUUGCGGUUUUUGCGAUUUUUAUUUGGAUCGAGGUGUCUGUGGCCCAAUGGUAUUUCGGGUUCAAUCGCUUACAAUUGGUUUUUUUCUUAUAAUUUCUUAUCUUUUCCAAUACUGUUUUUUACCUAAUUUAAUUAUCUGGAUUUGCAUGCAAGCUCUCCACCUCAUUCACGGGUGUUUGAUUUUGUUAAUUUUGAUCUAAUAAAAGAGAAGUACCUGGAAAAUCCUGUUGUACCUGGAAAAUCCUUUUUGCAGUUUUUGCGAUUUUUAUUUGGAUCAGAGUGUCUGUGGCCGAGUGGUAUUUCGAGUUCAAUCGCUUACAAUUGGUCUCGGCUCAACAUGAAAACUGGUGUUAAGAUCAUUCACGCAAGGGUGUUUGUGGCUUAGUGGUAUUUUGGGUUCAAUCGCAUACAAUUGGGGAUAUAUUCUGAUACAGGAAAUCAAACUUGCAGUAAACGUAUGCCUGGAUCACUAGGACAUGAAGAACAAGAUGCACAAACAUUUGCUUCUUGGGUUGUGUUGAUGCAAUCCUAUCCCGCAAGGGCAUUGGGUAGA